rnacentral:rRNA from 1 species
GAUGAACGCUAGCUACAGGCUUAACACAUGCAAGUCGAGGGGAAACGGCAUUGAGUGCUUGCACUCUUUGGACGUCGACCGGCGCACGGGUGAGUAACGCGUAUCCAACCUUCCCAUUACUGUGGGAUAACCUGCCGAAAGGCAGACUAAUACCGCAUAGUCUUCGAUGACAGCAUCAGAUUUGAAGUAAAGAUUUAUCGGUAAUGGAUGGGGAUGCGUCUGAUUAGCUUGUUGGCGGGGUAACGGCCCACCAAGGCUACGAUCAGUAGGGGUUCUGAGAGGAAGGUCCCCCACAUUGGAACUGAGACACGGUCCAAACUCCUACGGGAGGCAGCAGUGAGGAAUAUUGGUCAAUGGACGGAAGUCUGAACCAGCCAAGUAGCGUGCAGGAUGACGGCCCUAUGGGUUGUAAACUGCUUUUGUAUGGGGAUAAAGUUAGGGACGUGUCCCUAUUUGCAGGUACCAUACGAAUAAGGACCGGCUAAUUCCGUG